AGAGUUUGAUUCUGGCUCAGAACGAACGCUGGCGGCGUGGAUAAGGCAUGCAAGUCGAACGGUUCUGAUGUUUUAGCAAUAAGGCGUCAGAAUAGUGGCGAAAGGGUGCGUAACACGUGGCUGACCUACCUCGAAGUGGGGGACAACCCGGCGAAAGCCUGGUUAAUACCGCAUGUGAUCGCGAGAUCAAAGCUGGGGAUCCGCAAGGACCUGGCGCUUCAAGAUGGGGCCGCGGCCUAUCAGGUGGUUGGCGGGGUAAUGGCCCACCAAGCCGAUGACGGGUAGCUGGUCUGAGAGGACGACCAGCCACACUGGAACUGAGACACGGUCCAGACACCUACGGGUGGCAGCAGCCGAGGAUUUUUCUCAAUGGGCGAAAGCCUGAAGGAGCGACGCCGCGUGGGGGAUGACGGUCUUCGGAUUGUAAACCCCUGUCAUCUGGGAACAAUGGUUGCGACCUAACACGUCGUAAUUUGAUAGUACUGGAAGAGGAAGCCGUGGCUAACUCUGUGCCAGCAGCCGCGGUAAUACAGAGACGGCAAGCGUUGUUCGGAUUCAUUGGGCGUAAAGGGUCCGUAGGCGGUCGAGCAAGUCGGGUGUGAAAUCCCGCAGCCUAACUGCGGAAGGUCAUUCGAAACUGCUCGGCUCGAGGGCUGGAGAGGAGACUGGAAUGGUCGGUGUAGCGGUGAAAUGCGUAGAGAUCGACCAGAACACCGGUGGCGAAGGCGGGUCUCUGGACAGUUCCUGACGCUGAGGGACGAAAGCUAGGGGAGCAAACGGGAUUAGAUACCCCGGUAGUCCUAGCCCUAAACUGUGCUCACUUGGUGUGGGGGGAGUCGACCCCCUCCGUGCCGGAGUUAACGCGUUAAGUGAGCCGCCUGGGGAGUACGGCCGCAAGGCUAAAACUCAAAGAAAUUGACGGGGGCCCGCACAAGCGGUGGAGCAUGUGGCUUAAUUCGAUCCACGCGAAGAACCUUACCUGGCCUUGACAUGUCGCGUGAAAGCCGGUGAAGGCCGGUGACGGCCCGAAAGGGUGUUGGGGCGACACAGGUGCUGCAUGGUUGUCGUCAGCUCGUGUCGUGAGAUGUUGGCUUAAGUGCCGCAACGAGCGCAACCCUUGUGUUUAGUUGCCACUUCCUCGCAAGAGGAAAGCACUCUAAACAGACUGCCUCGCUUCAAACGAGGAGGAAGGUGGGGAUGACGUCAAAUCAGUAUGGCCCUUACGGCCAGGGCUGCACACGUGCUACAAUGCCCGGUACAGAGGGACGCAAGACCGCAAGGUGGAGCAAAUCCCUGAAAACCGGGCUCAGUUCGGAUUGAAGGCUGCAACUCGCCUUCAUGAAGCUGGAAUCGCUAGUAAUGGCGCAUCAGCUACGGCGCCGUGAGUACGUUCCCGGGCCUUGUACACACCGCCCGUCACAUCAUGGAAGCCGGCUGCACCCGAAGUCGUCGCGCCAACCCGCAAGGGAGGCAGACGCCGAAGGUAUGGCUGGUGACUGGGAUGAAGUCGAAACAAGGUA
rnacentral:rRNA from 1 species